rnacentral:sRNA from 1 species
GGUGACAGAAUGAGAGAGGGGGUGACUAGUGACAGAGUGAGAGAGGGGGUGACUAGUGACAGAGGGAGGGAGGGAGUGGGUGACUAGUGACAGAGUGAGGAAGGGGGUGACACAGUGACAGAGUGAGGAUGGGGGUGACACAGUGACAGAGUGAAGGAGGUGGUGACUGUCACUAGUCACCCCAUCCCUCCCUCUGUCACUAAUCACCUCCUCCCUCACUCUGUCACUAGUCACCCCUUCCCUCUCUCACUCUGUCACUAGUCACCCCCUCCCUCUCUCUGUCACUAGUCACACCCUCCCUCACUCUGUCACUAGUCACAACCUUCCUCACGGUU